rnacentral:misc_RNA from 1 species
AAGUCGUAACAAGGUUUCCGUAGGUGAACCUGCGGAAGGAUCAUUAUUGAGAUUCUAUAUCUUAAAACCCUUAUGCUUGUUUGACAUUACCAGUUGCUUUGGUAGAGAUUUUAUCUCUACCAGAGGAAAUAAAGACUCUUGUAUUUUUAAAAUUUAUGCUCUAUGACAAAAAAUUAAAGUUUUAAAAAACUUUCAACAAUGGAUCUCUUGGUUCUG